rnacentral:rRNA from 1 species
CCUACGGGUGGCAGCAGUGAUGAAUAUUGGUCAAUGGCCUAACGGCUGAACCAGCCAAGUCGCGUGAGGGAAGACGGCCCUACGGGUUGUAAACCUCUUUUGUCGGGGAGCAAAGCGAGUCACGUGUAGCCGAUUGAGAGUACCCGGAGAAAAAACAUCGGCUAACUCCGUGCCAGCAGCCGCGGUAAUACGGAGGAUGCCAGCGUUAUCCGGAUUUAUUGGGUUUAAAGGGUGCGCAGGCGGAGGUGCAAGUCAGCGGUAAAAUUGCGGGGCUCAACCCCGUACUGCCGUUGAAACUGCAGCCCUUGAGUGGGCGAGAAGUAUGCGGAAUGCGUGGUGUAGCGGUGAAAUGCAUAGAUAUCACGCAGAACUCCGAUUGCGAAGGCAGCAUACCGGCGCGCAACUGACGCUCAUGCACGAAAGCGUGGGUAUCGAACAGGAUUAGAUACCCGAGUAGUC